rnacentral:rRNA from 1 species
GACGAACGCUGGCGGCGUGCUUAACACAUGCAAGUCGAACGGAAAGGCCCUGCUUGCAGGGUACUCGAGUGGCGAACGGGUGAGUAACACGUGGGUGAUCUGCCCUGCACUUCGGGAUAAGCCUGGGAAACUGGGUCUAAUACCGGAUAGGAGCCAUUUUUAGUGUGAUGGUUGGAAAGUUUUUUCGGUGUAGGAUGAGCUCGCGGCCUAUCAGCUUGUUGGUGGGGUAAUGGCCUACCAAGGCGGCGACGGGUAGCCGGCCGGAGAGGGUGGACGGCCACAUUGGGACUGAGAUACGGCCCAGACUCCUACGGGAGGCAGCAGUGGGGAAGAUUGCACAAUGGGCGCAAGCCUGAUGCAGCGACGCCGCGGGGGGGAUGACGGCCUUCGGGUUGUAAACUCCUUUCGCUAGGGACGAAGCUUUUUGUGACGGUACCUAGAUAAGAAGCACCGGCUAACUACGUG